rnacentral:rRNA from 1 species
AGCCAUUAGUAAAUAUUAAUGGUUUAACCUGCCCAGUGUGAUGUAUAUAAAUGGCCGCGGUACCCUGACCGUGCUAAGGUAGCGUAAUAAGUUGGCUUUUAAAUGGAGUCAGGUAUGAAUGGAUUUACUGGGUUUAGCUGUCUCUAAAAUAAUUUUUUGAAGUUACUAUUUAAGUGAAAAAGCUUAAUUUAACUAAGGGGACGAGAAGACCCUUAAAAUUUUAUUUAAGAUGAUUAUUUAAUUAUUGCGAUUUUGUUGGGGCGACACAGAGAUAAUUAUAACUCUCUUUAAUUUAACAAGACGAAUUUAUUAAGGUAGGAAAAAUUACUUAAGGGAUAACAGCAUAAUUUUAAAAUUAAGUUUAUGACCUCGAUGUUGGACUAGGAAACUAAUGAGUUAGAUGCUUGUUGUGUGAAUUCUGUUCGAAUUUUAAUUCCU